rnacentral:lncRNA from 1 species
GCACGACGUGGUGCUGAAGGACAAUUUGGCUAAGGUAGGCUGGAUCUAGAGCAUUAUUGAAGUGUAGUACCACGAUGUGCCCUCUGUCUAGGAUAGCCGUAUCGAAGCCGCUCGUCAUACUUAUACCAACCCGAAGAGGGCGUUAUCGUCUUAGAAAAAAAUGACGCUGCAUUCUCAUCCCGCCACCGAGCCUGUACGAGGGGACAUGAGUAACAGAGUACCCCUUUUACGUGGUGUUUCAACCAUUUUCAUGUGGGACCCCGUCGUUAGAUGCAGGCAGCUAAAUGCGACCAGUUUCUACGAAGGCCAGCCUGUAACCGUAAGACAUACCUCCAUGACGAUCCGCUCAACGCAGCCAGACGGAGAAAAACAGGGUGCUCGUGAAAAAUCAAACAUUGAGUUGAAACAGGGUUCGAAUACGCCAUUGGCGUCUGCUAGGACAUUUUUCCGGGCAUAUAACGUUGCGGCGUGUGCGUUCAGAGAUCCGUUUGGGUUCUGCUGGGCGUUAAGUUGUGAAGAAUUCGAUUUGGGUCGCUCGCACACUCGUGGUUGUAUCUGCAGCGACGACGCGCGCGCUGCACUCGCUGCAGACGGAAUCACUGAUGAUGGUAAAAACUUCAUGCCGCGUGGAUCUUAUGGCAUCUCUUCUAUUUUUGAACGCUUGUGAGUGUCCUCUGAGAUGUAGUUUCACACAGCUGGGAGUGCGACCACCUCCCCUGCAUCACGCGUUCAGCUUUUCCAUCUUUUUUCUGUGUUGUGGACUCUUGAUGAUCUGGCAUUAUGAGGAAUUCUGAUGCUCGCCUAACAUGCUCGAAACUCACUUAUUUUGAACCGUACAGAAUAGCGCGGCUUAUGAAGUAGUGGCACGCUCAGAAAGCCGAAACAUCGAGUAGCCUGGCGAGAGCCCAAAAGAAGAGGACGCCGGUCAUGGUAAGCACCGUGAAGGGUGUUCAGAGAAUAUGGCAGGACACAUGGAGACAAAAAAGAGGUAAUCUCAUUCGGGGGAGGUUGUCACUAUCAGAGUAGCACACAGCAGAAACCGUGAAGGUACAUGAGGCCUCCAUUAAUGUGAUUUGGUCGUUCUUCACGAACAGGUCAUCCCGCUUUUACCGUUUCACCCGCUGACGGCCAUGUUCUAUUCUAAUGUAUCUGUUGCAUUACAGUCGGUGACUAACUGUGCCCUUCGCCGGCGGAAGAUUUUAUGCGGCGCCGCCGUGGUGGCCCGGCAGAGCCAGCCUCGACCCGAGUGGCCCGCGAUUGACUCACAUGUUGGCCGGUUUCCCGUAAGAUUCAUCUGGUGUUCUGGCGCAGCCGGCAUGCUGCGUCUGACCAACCACUGGAUGCCUUGUGCGGGGGUCUCCGACGAACUAGCGGAACAUCACUUACCGUCUAUCCGCAAAUGCUCUCUACCGCAAAAAUGUCACUGAUGCGCUCUCCAGGUAAUUGAAGCCCCCGGGCGCUUUCGUGCGAGGAAUGAAAUUCGGACUACCUCCCACUUAGCUGGUGCGCAAGAGCAGAAACUGUACGUUGGUCAUUUGCCUCCGCCUGAACUGUUUCCACUCGAACAGAAAGAGAUUCUCAGCGAUGGCGUCGCUAUGCUCCGGAGUUCUGACUCGUCCGCUUUUGUGGAAGAAAGGCGGGCGCGAAGCAAAGGCGUACCUCACUCGCUAGGUAACAAACCGACAAAUGUUAUAGCAUCCAGCGGCUUAGCGCUACGUUAGCAUCAAAAG